rnacentral:rRNA from 1 species
CUACGGGGGGCUGCAGUGGGGAAUAUUGGACAAUGGGGGCAACCCUGAUCCAGCCAUGCCGCGUGUGUGAAGAAGGCCCUCGGGUUGUAAAGCACUUUCAGUGAGGAAGAACGCCUGGUGGUUAAUACCCAUCAGGAAAGACAUCACUCACAGAAGAAGCACCGGCUAACUCCGUGCCAGCAGCCGCGGUAAUACGGAGGGUGCGAGCGUUAAUCGGAAUUACUGGGCGUAAAGCGCGCGUAGGUGGCUUGAUAAGCCGGUUGUGAAAGCCCCGGGCUCAACCUGGGAACGGCAUCCGGAACUGUCAAGCUAGAGUGCAGGAGAGGAAGGUAGAAUUCCCGGUGUAGCGGUGAAAUGCGUAGAGAUCGGGAGGAAUACCAGUGGCGAAGGCGGCCUUCUGGACUGACACUGACACUGAGGUGCGAAAGCGUGGGUAGCAAACAGGAUUAGAUACCCUUGUAGUC